GCCACAGUCUACUUUACUUAUAUAUCCCAUAAUAAAGAGGCUCAGCAACCACACUGCAUGACCUAUAUGGUUUUAGACUUUAAGAACGGAGAAGGAGCUGAUUAAAGUCAAUUAAACUGAGAGAAAACAAGAUUAUGACCGUAGCUGUAACUGAGAAAUGAAACUGAAAUCAGGCUCUCUCAGGCUGCAUGUCUGAUCCUGUCUCUGUAAUCUGAGAACAUAAUGGAGACAUUUACAGCGGUUGGAAACUGCACCCAUCCUCCACCUCUCAGUGUGAGUCACUGUGGUCCAGUCCUUCCUCUUUAAUGAACACGCUAACAGACUGCUGCUGUUCAGUCUUUUUGUGUCUAAAUUUCUCUUUUUCUUUUAAGUUUUAGUUUAUGAAAGAACUCAUGUUCAUUUUUAAUAUAUUUACUGUUUCUGUCUGACUGUAUCUGGACACUCCAUAAGAUAAAACAGGAUUCUGAUGUAUUACAUUGUCACUGUGUAACUGUGUGAGUCACAUGAAAGUCCCGAGUAUCACUUCCCCCUAAAGCAGCAUGAGUCUGCUGUAAUGAAACGUUCCACUGUGAUCAACUUACAUAGAAAGACUCUGAGGAUGAGUUUGAAUUCUUUAUAUUAAUAUAUAUGAAUAUUCUCAGUUAUCAAUCAGUCCCAUCACAAUCUGAAUCUUCAGAUCCUGAGUCUCUCUCAGAAGAACCAGCUUUGAUGGUGUCCCAGGUUCUGUCUCAGGUUCUGUCCUGCACAUGGUCUUUGUGGGUUAUUGGUCGUACAAACAUCUUGUUCCUGCUGACUGUUUGUCAGCUGUUGACUGUAAAUAAGAACAAUCACUGUGACAAAGAUCAACUUCGUACGUGGAAUUUAUUUUUUGUCUCAUGACCUCAUCUGAUGUCUGAUGGGAGUUUUUUUUAAUAUCUGAACCCUGUUGAUAUUUUUAAUGUUGCUAACUGUGAGUGUGUGAGCUCAGCAUCGACUGUCUGAAAUAUAUAAAGAAAUAAUUCUGCUUCAGUACAGAACUUGAGUAAAUGUACCUGAAACUAUCUAAUAAUGUGCUGUUGACCUUGUUGCUCAACCAGAUACCCUCAGGUGUGUUCCUGCUCUCAGGUAGAACACACACGCUUUGUUUGAUGUCUCAUCAUCAUUGUGGCACCAGGCCAGCAGUCAGUCAGAGGAGAAACCGACUG
rnacentral:lncRNA from 15 species